UACGGGGGGAGCAAGCGUUGUUCGGAUUUACUGGGCGUAAAGGGCGCGUAGGCGGUCAGCACAAGUCAGUUGUGAAAUCUCCGGGCUUAACUCGGAAAGGUCAACUGAUACUGUGCGACUAGAGUGCAGAAGGGGCAACUGGAAUUCUCGGUGUAGCGGUGAAAUGCGUAGAGAUCAGCAGGAAUACCCGUGGCGAAGGCGGCCCCCUGGGCCGUUUCUGACGCUGAGGCGCGAAGGCUAGGGGAGCGAACGGG
rnacentral:rRNA from 1 species